CCCAAAACAAACAGACCCAAGCCACCGCAGCUCUUCACUCGUCUUCUGCUCUUCGCUCCCUCCCCCGCCCCCAAGCCACCGCAGCUGCACCGCACCUCUGCUCCACGCCUCCACCGCGUCUCUACCUCAGACUCCCUCUGGUCCGCGCCUCUGCCUCUAAACGGUUGCAGUCAUUUACUUCCAUGAUGAAUUUACUAUGUUAAAAGGCGUUGGACUCUUCACAAUUAUUCUUGGGGUGAGUUUAUUCAACUGGUACAAGUAUGAAAAACUAAAGAAGGGUCAUACAAGUGAAGACGACAUGGAGGAAUCAGUCGAGAUGAAUGCUGCAAAAUAUGUUAUUCUUGAAGAGACAGAUGAGCAAGAUGAUGGCACAUAAGAGCUUCAGGAAAGUUCAUAUUUGAGUCCACUUUUCGGUGAAGCAUUUGGCAUGAAGCAUAUUGGGCUAGUCUCAGAUAUUCAGCAAUUUUGUGUUCCAACAUCCAACCUUUACCUUUGCAGAGCUCUAAAUCAUUAGGAGUUGAUAUUUUGAAGCUACUGCCCGCGAGUCAGAAGGAAAAGCCACUUUAUAGGUUUCAGUAUAUACUGAGUGUUAUUGUUAGAGUACAUCUGGGUGUCAACUUCAAUAAUGGUUCAUUUGUUCCAUUACUUUUAGAAAGAGGAUGACUGCAACUGCAAGCUGCCCAGAAUUUUGAAUCCCAUCAUGCUAGAUGGAUUGGGUUCAUUGCCCUUGAAUAGUUGAAUGUAUAUUACAAAUCAAUUGCACAUUGUAUCUGAAUAAAAAUUGAUUUGGGAGAAGUAUAUUAGAAAUUUAGAAUGCCAAUUUGGUGUUCAUCAUUCAUCAA